GUGGGGAAUAUUGGACAAUGGGCGAAAGCCUGAUCCAGCCAUGCCGCGUGUGUGAAGAAGGUCUUCGGAUUGUAAAGCACUUUAAGUUGGGAGGAAGGGCAGUAAGUUAAUACCUUGCUGUUUUGACGUUACCAACAGAAUAAGCACCGGCUAACUUCGUGCCAGCAGCCGCGGUAAUACGAAGGGUGCAAGCGUUAAUCGGAAUUACUGGGCGUAAAGCGCGCGUAGGUGGUUCAGCAAGUUGGAGGUGAAAUCCCCGGGCUCAACCUGGGAACUGCCUCCAGAACUGCAUGACUAGAGGACGGUAGAGGGUAGGGGAAUUUCCUGUGUAGCGGUGAAAUGCGUAGAUAUAGGAAGGAACACCAGUGGCGAAGGCGACUACCUGGACUGAUACUGACACUGAGGUGCGAAAGCGUGGGGAGCAGACAGGAUUAGAUACCCGAGUAGUCC
rnacentral:rRNA from 1 species